GGCAAGAUGGCCGAGUGGUUAAGGCGCUGUGUUUAGGCUGAUCAUUUCAAAGGAUCCGCAGUGGGCAACCUCGAGGGUUCGAAUCCCUCUCUUGUCA